rnacentral:rRNA from 1 species
UUCAAUCAAUAUGAUAUCUAGUUUGUUAAUAAAUGAAUUUAAUUCAUUUUUAAAUUUAGAUUUAUUAUAAUUUUAUUUAUAAUAAUUUAUUUAAGUUAAACUUUUUAGGGAUAAGCUUAAUUAGUUUUUUAAAAAUUUUUUGUUUUAAAAUUUUUUAUAGGAUUGAUAAUUUUCAUUUUUAUUUUGUUAUAAUUAUUUUUUUUUAAUUAAAAUUUUUAUUUUUUUAAUUUUUUAUUAAUACUUUUUUUAUAAUUUUUUAUUUAAUUGAUAAUGAUAAAAUUAGUAAUUUUUUUAAUUUAAUUAUAGGAAUUCGGCAAAAUUAAUUUUCACCUGUUUAACAAAAACAUGGUUUUUUGAAUUUUAUAUAAGAUUAAACCUGCCCACUGAUUUUUAUGAAUUUAAAGGCUGCGGUAUUUUAACUGUACGAAGGUAGCAUAAUCAUUUGCCUUUUAAUUGGAGGCUGGAAUGAAUGGUUCAAUGAAAAAUUAACUUUCUUUAAUUAAUUUAUUUGAAUUUAAUUUUUUAGUUAAAAAGCUUAAAUUAUUUUAUAGGACGAGAAGACCCUAUAGAAAUUUAUUUUUUUUAUAAAUUUUUAUUUUUGGUUUUUAUAAAUAUUAAUUUAGAAUGGGAAAUUUUAUUGGGGUGAUAGUAAAAUUUAUUUAACUUUUAUUUUUUAAUUUCAUUAAUUAAUGUAUUUUUUGAUCCAAAAUUUUUGAUUAAAAGAUUAAUUUACCUUAGGGAUAACAGCGUAAUUUUUUCGGAGAGUUCUUAUUGAUGAAUAAAGUUUGCGACCUCGAUGUUGAAUUAAGAUAAGAUUUAGGUGUAGAAUUUUAAUUUUCUUGGUCUGUUCGACCAUUAAAUUCUUACAUGAUUUGAGUUCAGACCGGCGUGAGCCAGGUCGGUUUCUAUCCUUAAUUUUUUGUAGGUUAGUACGAAAGGACCACUUACUUCAAUUAAUAUUGUUAUUUAUUUUGAUUAUAAUUAAAAAAAAAA